AACAGGAUUCUCUUAGUAACUGCGAGUGAACAGAGAUUAGCCCAACAUCGAAGCCACCAUGCAUUUGUAUGGGAGGCAAUGUGAUGUUUUGGUGUUUGAACGCACUGUCUGGCUAACUUGAAGUCCAUAUUUGACUGUGGCUUGUAUUUAUACACCCAGAGAUGGUGAUAGGCCCGUUCAGGUUGGUAUUCUGGCAUGACAGUUCAGUGUGUAAUCAUUCAUCAUAGAGUCGGAUUGCUUGAGAGUGCAGUCCAAAAUGGGUGGUAAACUCCAUCUAAGGCUAAAUACCUGUACGAGUCCGAUAGUCAACAAGUACCGUGAGGGAAAGUUGAAAAGUACUCUGAAGAGAGAGUAAAUAGUACGUGAAACCACAUGGAGGUUAAACAAAUAGAGUCAAGCUGCUUGCAUCAUAUCAUUGCAAUAUGCGCAUUUUGUUGCAUGACAUUUGCCGGGACCUGGCGUGUGAUUCUGUCUACUUGUAGGCAUUUGAACAUGUGUUUGUUGUUGAAAGGUCUCGGUGAGUGUCUGCGCUUAUUGUUCAUGAUGGGUGCUAAUGCCAUAGUCGGUUGUACUACCAGUGCGCAGUAAUCGGCGAUUGUGCGGGCUGACUUAUUGUCGUUCGUGCAAUCAGUGAAACAGUUGGCAACAGUGUGUGCUUGCAUCCGCUUUUGUCAAGAAGCCACGCCUGUUGAUUACUGUGAACAUUGUGAGAGUCGACCGUCAUAUGUGCUCUAUAAUUGUGGAGUAAGUCGACUUGUCGACUACU
rnacentral:rRNA from 1 species